rnacentral:rRNA from 1 species
GCCUACGGGAGGCAGCAGUGGGGAAUAUUGCACAAUGGGGGAAACCCUGAUGCAGCCAUGCCGCGUGUGUGAAGAAGGCCUUGGUUGUAAAGCACUUUCAGUAGGGAGGAAAGGGUGUAGUUUAAUACGCUAUAUCUGUGACGUUACCUACAGAAGAAGGACCGGCUAACUCCGUGCCAGCAGCCGCGGUC